rnacentral:lncRNA from 1 species
AUUGCGUGAGUAGUUGUGUACUGAUGAAGUUAUCUUUAGGUUAAUUGGUUUCUAAUGCUGCGUUUUCUGCUCUCUUUUGGGGUUACAAUGUAUCAUAUUGAGAUAUGGUUUUACAAUACAUACAUAUCAAUCAUGGCAAUACAUCAACCUUCAUUUCUGUUUAGCUAUAUUUUUUUGUAUAAUGUCAUUAAGAUGAGGUAGAUAAUUGUUGACUCAAUGCGUUUAUGUGCGAUGCUUAUAACCAAAUUAUGGUUAGAAGUUAGAAGUUUCUCAAAUGUGUCACUGGAAGAAUCUGCAAUCUGAGGUCACAUACAUUGAGUGUUGAAGUAUGAGCUAUGAUGGUUCCGGAGAAUUUUGAUUACAGGGGAGGCCAGGGCUUUCCUGAAACUUACAAUAGUUCUACAAAAUAUUGGUUUAUAUAAAAUCCCUAAUUUGAUAUUAGAAGAACAAACCAAUAGUGGCAGUUGCAGGGCACGCCACUAUAAGAUAUGAAAUUGAAAUGUUUGAAUGGUGUAUGUGUUGGAGGGGAAUUAAACAUAUGCUUGCUAGGUUGAGUCUGUUGUAUUAGACAUUUAGACUUUUGGCUCAGAUGAUAAAUUAGCUUAGAUUUAUCCUUGUUUGAACCUACAGCAUCUUCUCUAGAGGGUGUAAGGAUGAAUUUGUUAGUUUUACUAAAGGGUCUUCAAUGAAUGUUAACAUUUCUUUUGGCUGCAAAUGAUUAUUUGAAUGAAAAUGUUUCUUGAAUGAUUAUUUGAAUACAUUAUAAACUCAUUCUUCUGUUUGCUAUCAAUCCAUUUUCUAGCAUAGUUGGAAUUGAGAAACUCUCUUGAAAUUUGAUUCAGAAAAAAAUUGCUUGUAGGGUGCCCAAAAAGAUAGAAUUGAGAAACUGCUGUUAUAAUGUACAGUUUCUUUUUUCCUUUGUCAUCAUCCUGUGGAUGCGGAAAAUAAUAAAUCAUGUGAAAGAAUGCAAUACCGUUAAUAAACCUUUCGUUCCCAUCUUUCAACAAAGGAUUUUUUCUUUCUAAUGCUGCGUUUUCUGCUCUCUUUUGGGGUUACAAUGUAUCAUAUUGAGAUAUGGUUUUACAAUACAUACAUAUCAAUCAUGGCAAUACAUCAACCUUCAUUUCUGUUUAGCUAUAUUUUUUUGUAUAAUGUCAUUAAGAUGAGGUAGAUAAUUGUUGACUCAAUGCGUUUAUGUGCGAUGCUUAUAACCAAAUUAUGGUUAGAAGUUAGAAGUUUCUCAAAUGUGUCACUGGAAGAAUCUGC